rnacentral:rRNA from 1 species
CACGGGGGGAGCAAGCGUUGUUCGGAAUCACUGGGCGUAAAGGGCGUGUAGGCGGUCGAGUAAGUGGGAUGUGAAAUGCCCCGGCUCACCCGGGGACCGGCAUCCCAUACUGCUUGGCUUGAGUACGGGAGAGGAUGUGGGAAUUCCUGGUGUAGCGGUGAAAUGCGUAGAUAUCAGGAGGAACACCGGUGGCGAAGGCGCACAUCUGGCCCGAUACUGACGCUGAGGCGCGAAAGCUAGGGGAGCAAACGGG